GACAGAGGUCUCGAGCGUUAGGCGGAAUCACUGGGCUUAAAGCGUGUGUAGGCGGAUCGGUAAGUACCUUGUGAAAUCCCACAGCUUAACUGUGGAACUGCUUGGUAUACUGCCAGUCUUGAGCCAGCUAGGGGCUACCGGAACAAAUGGUGGAGCGGUGAAAUGCGUAGAUAUCAUUUGGAACGCCAAUGGUGAAAACAGGUAGCUGGGGCUGUGCUGACGCUGAGACACGAAAGCCAGGGGAGCAAACGGG
rnacentral:rRNA from 1 species